GGUUGAUCCUGCCAGUAGCAUAUGCUUGUCUCAAAGAUUAAGCCAUGCAUGUCUAAGUAUAAACUUCUUUAUACUGUGAAACUGCGUACAGCUCAUUAUAUCAGUUAUAAUUUAUUUGAUGGUACUUUACUACAUGGAUAACCGUAGUAAUUCUAGAGCUAAUACAUGCGUAAAGUCCCGACUCGCGAGGGGAGGGAUGUAUUUAUUAGAUAAAAAACCAAUGCGCCCUCUGGGUGAUUUGUGGUGAAUCAUAAUAACUUUUCGAAUCGCAUAGUCUCGUACUGGCGAUAGAU
rnacentral:rRNA from 1 species